rnacentral:rRNA from 1 species
CCUACGGGAGGCAGCAGUGGGGAAUAUUGCACAAUGGGGGAAACCCUGAUGCAGCGACGCCGCGUGAGUGAAGAAGUAUUUCGGUAUGUAAAGCUCUAUCAGCAGGGAAGAAAUAAAGUCCUUCGGACUUUGGACGGUACCUGACUAAGAAGCCCCGGCUAACUACGUGCCAGCAGCCGCGGUAAUACGUAGGGGGCAAGCGUUAUCCGGAUUUACUGGGUGUAAAGGGCGCGUAGACGGCGGCGCAAGUCUGGAGUGAAAUCCCAUGGCUUAACCAUGGAACUGCUUUGGAAACUGUGCAGCUGGAGUGCAGGAGAGGUAGGCGGAAUUCCUAGUGUAGCGGUGAAAUGCGUAGAUAUUAGGAGGAACACCGGUGGCGAAGGCGGCUUACUGGACUGUAACUGACGUUGAGGCUCGAAAGCGUGGGGAGCAAACAGGAUUAGAUACCCCGGUAGUC